rnacentral:lncRNA from 1 species
GCAUUAGACUCUCCAUGGGCUCCAUAGACUCUCCUGUACCUUACGACUAGGCACAGGAGCGUUUCCCCGGUGAAAUGGAGAAGAGGACACUUGGUCUUUUCAACUUUACUAGGAGGGCUCCUUUCUUCCCAGUCCGUAAGGAGGGGUCUGACUUUCAUUUCCACCCCAGCAUUAUCACCUUAACUCUCAUUCCAGUCAAUCCCGAAACUCCGUUGCCCUACCCACUUCACCCUUCUUUUGUUUGUCCUGAUUUGAUUCCUGCGUUCUCACAGAGGGCUACCUGGACUUUGAACCUCCACCCCCCUUUCUACAUUCUUGCAUUCCAGAAACAUAUGAAGCUCAUUUCUGCCACCCUUCCUAGAAAACUGGUUCCUGACAGAGACAUGUGGAAAGAUGUAAAGAAAAUGGGAGAGGGGAAGAGGAAAGAAUAAGGACGGAAAAAGGAAAGAAUAAGGAUGGAAAGAAAGGACAAAGGUGGAAGCCAAAGGCCAAGCCUAAGAACUUCAGGAAAGUUGAAC